CUCGAUGAGUAGGGCGGGACACGUGGUAUCCUGUCUGAAUAUGGGGGGACCAUCCUCCAAGGCUAAAUACUCCUGACUGACCGAUAGUGAACCAGUACCGUGAGGGAAAGGCGAAAAGAACCCCGGCGAGGGGAGUGAAAAAGAACCUGAAACCGUGUACGUACAAGCAGUGGGAGCACGCUUAGGCGUGUGACUGCGUACCUUUUGUAUAAUGGGUCAGCGACUUAUAUUCUGUAGCAAGGUUAACCGAAUAGGGGAGCCGAAGGGAAACCGAGUCUUAACUGGGCGUUAAGUUGCAGGGUAUAGACCCGAAACCCGGUGAUCUAGCCAUGGGCAGGUUGAAGGUUGGGUAACACUAACUGGAGGACCGAACCGACUAAUGUUGAAAAAUUAGCGGAUGACUUGUGGCUGGGGGUGAAAGGCCAAUCAAACCGGGAGAUAGCUGGUUCUCCCCGAAAGCUAUUUAGGUAGCGCCUCGUGAAUUCAUCUCCGGGGGUAGAGCACUGUUUCGGCAAGGGGGUCAUCCCGACUUACCAACCCGAUGCAAACUGCGAAUACCGGAGAAUGUUAUCACGGGAGACACACGGCGGGUGCUAACGUCCGUCGUGAAGAGGGAAACAACCCAGACCGCCAGCUAAGGUCCCAAAGUCAUGGUUAAGUGGGAAACGAUGUGGGAAGGCCCAGACAGCCAGGAUGUUGGCUUAGAAGCAGCCAUCAUUUAAAGAAAGCGUAAUAGCUCACUGGUCGAGUCGGCCUGCGCGGAAGAUGUAACGGGGCUAAACCAUGCACCGAAGCUGCGGCAGCGACGCUGAUGCGUUGUUGGGUAGGGGAGCGUUCUGUAAGCCUGCGAAGGUGUGCUGUGAGGCAUGCUGGAGGUAUCAGAAGUGCGAAUGCUGACAUAAGUAACGAUAAAGCGGGUGAAAAGCCCGCUCGCCGGAAGACCAAGGGUUCCUGUCCAACGUUAAUCGGGGCAGGGUGAGUCGACCCCUAAGGCGAGGCCGAAAGGCGUAGUCGAUGGGAAACAGGUUAAUAUUCCUGUACUUGGUGUUACUGCGAAGGGGGGACGGAGAAGGCUAUGUUGGCCGGGCGACGGUUGUCCCGGUUUAAGCGUGUAGGCUGGUUUUCCAGGCAAAUCCGGAAAAUCAAGGCUGAGGCGUGAUGA
rnacentral:rRNA from 1 species